AUGGAGACAGGACCCAUCCGAGCACAGCAGCUGAGGACAGGCAGCUGAGAUGAGUCCUACAGCCCUUCCAUGGGUGACGUGUUCUUGUGUACUCAUGUGCUGAUGGAAUGCACCAAUAAGGCAUCUCCCUCCUGUGGGAAUCUCAUUUGAUUAGAAGUUAAACAUUCAGUUCCCAAAGAAAAUUUAAAGCUCUGCCAAUAACAGAAGGGAAAACAAACAAACAAACAAACAUUUCACACAAAUUUUCUUCUGGUGAUGCUUGAAGAAACAUGAAAACCCUGUAGUACCAUUUUUUGAGUUCAGGCUUGUUUUUCAGAUUUAUUUAUUUACAGAUCUAAAAUGAAAUUAAUACUCCCUUCUUUAGCAUGAGCUGACUUUAACUCAUUCAGAAUAAAAAUGAUAAUUCCUGGAAUAUCAGAAUCAUUUACAAAUUUGUAUCAUCAAAGUUAAUGAGCUGAGAGGAGGAAAACCAAAUGUAAAUGCAAUUUAUUUCAAGAUACAGAUGCUCAGUUUUCUGUUUGACACCGAAACCAUGCUUCAAAACUUGUUUAAACCAGUGUUUGCAGUAAACUGUACUGCAGCUACGUGGGAUUUGGUUGCCAUGAUGCUGUUAACUCCUUGCUACACAUUGCCAUCUUGCAUCAGUUUGAAAGGUUAUUCUGCAUCAAACAAGCUUGUUUUAGAUGAGACAGUUUCAUUCUGCAGCAGUAAAAGGCUCUUAGGAUCUGAGCUGGCUGACUGUACUUCCCUGACACGGAAGCUAAUUCCAUGCUGCAGUCACAGAGGAAUCCACGGCUUGAUGUACCCUGAUUCAACAAUGAGUGUCACAAUCUGGUCCUUAUCCUUGCAAAAGGGAAGAACUGGGAUUGCAGGUGCUGUUUCUUCUAUCAGCAUAUGCUUGACUGAAAGCAUCUGA
rnacentral:lncRNA from 1 species